rnacentral:tRNA from 1 species
GGAGAGAUGUCCGAGUGGUUUAUGGUAGCUCCUUGCUAAGGAGUCGUAGGGUUAAACCUACCGCAGGUUCGAAUCCUGUUCUCUCCG